rnacentral:SRP_RNA from 1 species
GCCGGGCGUGGUGGCUCACGCCUGUAAUCCCAGCACUUUGGGAGGCUGAGGUGGGCGGAUCACCUGAGGUCAGGAGUUCGAGACCAGCCUGGCCAACAUGGCGAGACCCCAUCUCUA